rnacentral:tRNA from 2 species
UGGGGUGUCGCCAAGUGGUUAAGGCACCGGAUUUUGAUUCCGGCAUUCGUAGGUUCAAAUCCUGCCACCCCAGCCA